UCUGGCCUGUAUUCAACUGCAUUGUUGUGAGCAGUUGGGCGCUGCAUCUCCAGAUUGGGACAGUCCUAGCUUGCAAGCAACAAUGUUGUGCAUUUGCAGGUCGAGUGCGCCGAGACUUUCGAGAAGGCGAUAUGAGCUCAAUUUUGAGGCCAGCUUGCUGGUACCCGGAUUGGAGGAAUGUUGUUCGUUUUGGAUGUGAAUGGGGAAAAGGUUUUCGGGCUCGUAUGGGUUCGAAUUGGUGUGGGGUGGCAGUUGCAUGCAACAUGUGCCUUCUGCCAAUUCGGUCCUGUGCGAGCUCACAAUCCCACUCUCGGCGUAAAAGUUGGUCAUCUAUCCGACCCGUCUUGAAACACGGACCAAGGAGUUUAUCGUGUGCGCAAGUCAUUGGGUGUUGAAAACUCAAAGGCGCAAUGAAAGUAAAGAAUCCGCAAGGAUACGACGUGUGAUCUGAGCAAUCACGAUUGCCUGGAGCAACAUGGCCCCAUUCUGGUCGCUUGCGACGGGGUGGAGGAAGAGCGUACGCGGUGAGACCCGAAAGAUGGUGAACUAUUCCUGAGCAGGAUGAAGCCAGAGGA
rnacentral:rRNA from 1 species